GACGAACGCUGGCGGCGUGCUUAACACAUGCCAGUCGAACGGAAAGGCCCUGCUAGUGUGUGUUACUCGUGUGGCGAGCGGGUGAGUAACAGGUGAGUAAGCUGCCCUUUACUUUGGGAUAGCUUCAGUAAACUGGGGCUAAUUACUGAUAGAUACGCCUUCUGCAUGGUGGGGGUGGGAAAGUUUCGGCUGUUGGGUAUGGACUCGCGGCUUAUGAUCUUGUUGGUGGGGUAGUGGCUUACCAAGGCUUUGACGGGUAGCCGGCAUGAGAGGGUGACCGGCCACCUUGCGCCUGAGAUACGGACCAGACUCCUACGGGAGGCAGCAGUGGGGAAUCUUGCACAAUGGGAGGAAGCCUGAUGCAGCAACGCCGCGUGCGGGAUGACCGCCUUCGGGUUGUAAACCGCUUUAGCCUGUGACGCCGCGUGAGUGACGGUACUGGGUAAAGAAGCACCGGCUAACUACGUG
rnacentral:rRNA from 1 species